GUGCUCGCUUCGGCAGCACAUAUACUAAAAUUGGAACGAUAUAGAGAAGAUUAGCAUGGCCCCUGCAUGAGAAUGAUGUGAAAAUUCAUGAAGCGUUCCAUAUUUUU
ensembl:snRNA LOC120096450 U6 spliceosomal RNA